rnacentral:sRNA from 1 species
UUCGGGAUUUUAUGUUCCUGCAUUUCUUUAGGAGUUAUCUUUUUUUAUGACUCCUUUCUUUGUAAUAACACGUUUCACGUGAAAGUUUUUAGGAGGAUUUUCGAAAAUGCAAAACGGUACAGUAAAAUGGUUCAACGCUGAAAAAGGUUAUGGCUUCAUCCAAGUAGAAGGUGGAAACGAUGUAUUCGUUCACUUCUCUGCAAUUCAAGAAGAAGGUUUCAAGACACUUGAAGAAGGUCAAAGCGUAACUUUCGAAAUCGUAGAAGGCGACCGCGGCCCACAAGCUGCGAACGUUGUUAAAAACUAAACCAUUGUCUAUAUAAGACUAAGCGGUAAUCCCCAUUGGAUUACCGCUUUUU